rnacentral:lncRNA from 1 species
UGUCAUAUGGAGAGCCGGUGGAAAAGCUGCACCGUUCCUAACAUGGUUACAUAACUGAUCCUCCAACGUUGUCCCAGAUAAUUAUGUGAAUAGGCAGAAAAUCUAUACUGAAGCACACGGGGGAGGGGAAGACAGUGAUAUAAUCCAGACAUCUGACACAGUGAACGCAGUCAAAGUGUGUUUAAGUGCAUAUUUGUGUGCGUCACCUGAUGGGCCAGGAUGUAGAUGUUGUGACCCACAUUUCGCGGAGAAGCGGCGUGCUCUUCCUCGCCAUUCUCAUCAUCAUCGUUGUGUUCUACUUCAAUCUCUCCCUGCAGCUCUUUAUACAGCAACCAGUCUAUCCAGGCAAGGUGACCAGCCUCAACCCGACAGGAAGUAGACUCUGCAUGGGCAGCUCCCUAAUAGCAGCAUCAAUGCAUGAAGCAAAAGGUCAACCAGCAACCGCCUCCCUCACUCCCUCCCUCCAUCCCCUUCUCGUCUAUCCGAGCUCUUGGCAUCAACAAGAGGAUGUUAUGUAAGAUCUAUUUAUAAGCGCAAGCUCAAUCAGUGUCGUCGUGCCCACCCGGCCUCGUAACCACGGGAACGGCUCGCUCGGCGGCAGCGGCAGCUGGGGAUGCGAGGAGAUGUCCUUCACACUUCAACAGCAGCUGAAGGAAAGUCUGCAAUACGACACGCACAUACAAGCGUCAACUUAAGGAUUUCAAGUGCACUUACUAAAUCUAUUAGAGAGCUAAGACGCCGCAUGAGACAGACCAUAAUAAUAAGAGGCAGAGGGGGGUUAACCCUAUACAGCCUACUGUAUCAGAUUUGAUAUGCAAAUUUCUAAGGCCUCUAAAUGAUCAACAUGAUCAGAACUGAUGGAAAGCCAAUGUUUUUUUCCUGAUUAUUAUUGUAUAUGCUAGGCUUUAAAGGGUUUAAAAAAAAGCUGGAUGUAAUUAAAGCCGAGGUCAGCUUUAGACGCACUCUCACAUGCCUGUUGAGUAAUAGCACUCACACCUGUUGUGCUUCAUUACACUCGUGUGCGUCUGCUCAUGUCUUGUGAGGCUGUUUGGAGUUUACGGUAACCAAGAGGGCCGUGAGCAAAAACAGAGCUAUGCACACGGUUAGCUUCAAGUGUACAGAACAUCUCCAAGGACGAGUCCGACCGUGACAAAGUCUGAAAAAGAGUGUAAAUAUUUAUAGGACAUGGAAUUAACAAACGCACACAAGCACUUCCUCCUCACACACACACACUGGGUGUUUGUUAUGAAGGUCAUAAGCUAAUGUUUAACCGAGGUGCGUGCACUUAUGUGGCAGGCGACAGGUGCAGGCUGCAACCUGAAACCUCAAGAGGAGUCCUCCAGUUUGAGUUUGUUUCCCGCUACACCUGACACCAUUUUUCAAAUAUUACAUAACAGGCCUGAUUAAAGGAAGAGCCGAGAUUUUGUGUUCAAAAGAGUGAUAUUGUCAUUCUUCUGCAUCUAGUCUCUUUAAAACACCAUGAUG